UCCCCGGUGGCGCAGACGGCAAAGCGUCUGCCUGCAAUGCAGGAGACCCGGGUUCGACCCCUGGGUUGGGAA
rnacentral:tRNA from 1 species